rnacentral:rRNA from 1 species
UUUAAUUCGAAGCAACGCGAAGAACCUUACCAAAUCUUGACAUCCUUUGACCGCUCUAGAGAUAGAGUCUUCCCCUUCGGGGGACAAAGUGACAGGUGGUGCAUGGUUGUCGUCAGCUCGUGUCGUGAGAUGUUGGGUUAAGUCCCGCAACGAGCGCAACCCUUAAGCUUAGUUGCCAUCACUAAGUUGGGCACUCUAAGUUGACUGCCGGUGACAAACCGGAGGAAGGUGGGGAUGACGUCAAAUCAUCAUGCCCCUUAUGAUUUGGGCUACACACGUGCUACAAUGGACAAUACAAAGGGCAGCUAAACCGCGAGGUCAAGCAAAUCCCAUAAAGUUGUUCUCAGUUCGGAUUGUAGUCUGCAACUCGACUACAUGAAGCUGGAAUCGCUAGUAAUCGUAGAUCAGCAUGCUA